GAAAAUGUUGGCAGAAGCUGACCUAAAGUCUGCAUUCAAGGGAAAUUGCAUGCACAAAGGAUGAGGAGCAACCAUAAGCCUCCAGAUGGAGACAUGGGUGGGUGGUUGGAAGGCUGGUAGAUGACUGAACUUGGAGACCCUGCACAGCUCAUCAUCAUUGCCAGGGGCUCUCGUCUUUUUCCUCCCCUCCCAUGGCUCGCACCUCCAUCCUGGAGUCCAGCAGAGUCAGUGAAGCCCAGGCGGGCAGCGAUUUUGAACAUUGGAGGGAAAAAAGGUGAAAAGCACGGAGGGCAGAAGAUCACAGCACAGAAAGACCUUGUGAUGGAGAUGACAAAAUGAUUUAUGACAAACAGAGAAAUCUCCAGACAACACAAAAGACCGAUCCAGCUCAAAGUUCCUGCUAAAAAAUAAAUCCUGCUUUGUUUUUUUCUUUCUAUUAUUUACUUUUUUGGGUUAAAAUAAAUGUAAAAAAACACAAUUCAUGAACAGGAUGUAUUUAUUCACCUGUCCUACUUUGUAGCUUGUUUUAGUUUCAACCAAAAAAGUUCUUUUUUCAUUGAUGACCUUUGUUUCCAUGGAGAUGAAAAAUUAUGUUUGCUUUGCAUCUUCACACCACUUGUCGAACACAACGGUUCUGAUAUCUUUGUUGUGUUUAAAUAAAAUGUAAAAUUGUCUGAAUAGCAAAUUAAUUUAUAAAAUAUUUUAUAUAGAAUCAGAUCAGGACAAUAUUUCAUUGUUUAGAAGUCAUUUUUGUGAACUAUAUUUGCACAUGAUGAUCUCCUUGUUCUAAAUGCUGCAGCUCACCAAUAAUUUUAAUCAAACAAAACUUGUGCGCGAAGAAUUUGAGCUAAACAUUGCUGUUUCUCAUUUAAUAUUUAUAUGUUAAGAGUUUUGAGUGUAUAGAUAAAUGUAUGAUGAAUAAAAUAAAGAUAAAUUCAAUGUGUUGCUAUAAACGUUUUUUUUAAUUUGUAAUGAAAGUUUUACACUGAACAAAUAAAUAAAAUAUUUGAAAAAAAAUCAAUUAUUAUCAAUAUCCUUCAUUCUUACCUGAUCAGAAGUGGCUCAGCUGUUUGCUGAUGAAUUGUAAUUAGUUGCUUCCAGAGGACCGUUUAAUGAUUUUAGGUUUAGUUUGUUUAAACUUUUUUUCUUAUUAAAAAUAAUAAUAAUAAUAAUAAUACAACAAACACUAAAAGAUUUUUUUCUUUUUAUUAUUUUAAAUUUACCACACAGUUUAGAGGCACACACACAGUCAAAGUUCCAUUAGCUAAAGAAAACGAUAAUUACAUUCAUUGUUCCAAAGGCCCAACAUGGACGCCAUACUUUUUCCAGACCUUCAUACAGUAUGUUGACGGGGUUAAAUAAUUAGAAGGGAAAAAAGCAAUAUUGGUGCUUUUUAAAUAUUCUGUUAAUUCAUUGUUGAACACGAUUAUAGGCCUUCAUUUUUAACACAAACAGAGGCCUUUGUUAAGUAUCCUCACGUGGCCUGGUACAUGUGCAUUCUGCUCUUUUUGUCAUUUAUAGUAAUUCACUCAAAGGGGUAAACGAUUUUUUCACCCAGCAGUUUUAACGACAAACGUCUACAUACUCCAAACUAACACAAAUAGAAAUAAAAAUGUUGUCUUAAAAUAUUGUACAAUUAAAAGGAAAUAAAGUAAAAAUGACAAAUAUAUAUAUAUAAAUAUAAAUAGGUUGUGAAUGAUACUCCCUACAAAGUGUUUUACACGCUAAUGAUACACACAGAGUAAAAUUGUUUCAUAAAAAUAUAAAAAUAAAAUUGCAAUAGCAAAAUAAGACGUCCAAGAGACGGAACUUUAAAAUUAAGCCAAGUGAAUGAAGUGGUUCCCUUUAUUUCAGAGAGAGUGCAAAGCAACCUUCAUCUAAAUGAAUGCAAAUUGGCUCUGCCUCCAUCAGGCAUCAUGCCAAGUUUCUAUAGCAACCACAUCCUCUGUCAGUCUCCUUUCAUCCCCUCCUUUCUUCAGUCUAGUUUGCCCUCUGAAGAGUUUUGGUUUCUACCAAAAUCUGCUGAAAAUUAACUGAUUUAUUUGUGUAAUUUGUGGGGUUAAAAAGUAUCACAAUUAAUUUAUUAUCUGCUAUGGCAAUACUAUUAACAUGCCUAGACUUUUACUGACAAAAAACGCUAUUUCAUUUUUCGUUAAACAAACUUUAUUUCUACAUUAUACUGUAAAAAAUGUAAAAUUUUGUCCAUUUAUCACACGUUUAAAUACGCUCAGUAUUUGUUGAACAGGGACUGUUUGUUGUUUAAAGGUGUUGGGCUUGACUUCACGGUCAAGUUCAACACUCGGCCUCAGAAGCGGCUCUGCUCAUCCCCUGCCCUCGGCUGCAACACCCGUCUCACACCGCCACCUAGCGGCACGAUGGCAGAACGGCAGCGCAGCAAAGGGAGGUUUCGCAAUGAUGGGGAUGGAGCGCCUUCUUGUGUGGUAAUGAUACCAUUACACAAAAUGUCCUCAUCUCUUUGGAAUUUAAAUUUGUUUUUCAUUAAUGAGUCGAUUAGUCUGUGGAGAUAAUUACAAUAUUUUUCUACGUGUCCCUGAAAAUAUGAAGCAUGUAGUUGAAGUUAUUAUAGCCUAGUAUUUGCCACAAAAAAAAACGAUUUUCGUUUAUUUAACCCUUGUGCUAUCCUAGGCACUUUACCAUUGGGAGUUGGGUCAUCUAGACCCACUAGACAGUGCGCGGAACCUUUUUUCUUUAAUGAUUUGUGAUCUUCACUGGUGUCCGUGGAUUAAAUGAAAUCUUUCCACCUUUGUCAAGGUAGGGAGAAAUGACUUUCUUCCAAGACUCCGCCCUUACGUCAAUGUAAGGGUGGGGUCAUCUAAAAUAGCACAAGAGUUAAAAUUAUUUGCAAUUUUCUCUCAUUUAUUUGUAGUAGACAUUUCAAAAAAUCCUAUAUUCACUUCAGCAGAAGAACCUUUUGUCCUUAUUUAUUAUGCCAACACGACACACAUUAAGAGUCCAGAUGUAGACCAAAUUGAACCGAUUUUAUGUUGAAUUCUUCAUUCUUUAAGGUAAACAAAUGAAAACUAUUGUAAAAAAAAAUUACGUACAUUUAAAAAAGAUGUACCAACUGCAUGUCUGCAGAUAUGGACAUAAAACACGAACAAACAUAAAGCUAAAUGUUAACAUCCAGUUUUAUUUCACUUGUUGAACAUUUCCUACAGAAACAGCAUCAUCACAAAACGUUUGACACAGGCUGUGAUUUCUCAGUUACAUUACAUUCAGUUGGCACAAGGAUUUAAAAAAUGUUUUACUGCCACUAAAAUCGUACAAGGUGUUGCAACAAUACAGAAGAGCAUGUCUGCAAUUCAAUGAUGGAGUCCCCCCUUUAAAAAAGUCAGGGUGUACCUAAUGUAGUUAUUGUAGUGCUUUAGUUUUGUUAGGUUAAGCUGCUGUCAGCAAAUACAAAUGAUUAAAUCAGGUUUAUUGGCAUUUGAUGAUUGUCUAGGUGUUCUUUCUCCACUCACCCAACUCCUUUGAUGUUACAAAAUUAAUAAUUCAUUUUCAUUUCUGCAUGACAGGCGGGUUAAGAAAAAUACUUAAAGUUGGGUUUUUUUUGUUUAUUUUUUAGAUUUUAAAAUGAAUCCCAAAAUAAAUCACACACAGGAACAGCAGGAUUCUGCAUGGCAGUUCAAGCUUUUGCAAAAUCUUCACACAAAAAAACCUAAUAGUAGGGUAAUACAUUCAGUCACUGCAGUCUCACAAACAACACCAAACUUUCAGACAUCGGCUGCCUCCUGAGAACUCGUCACUUCAACGCAGAGACGAGGCGAAAAAUCAGAACCACCUCUCCAUAGAAGUUAGUCCUAGUAAAAACCUUUGUACUCCUCUUUAGGCACUUAAGAAUCAGUAAAUAACAUUCAUUGACCUUCCAGGGCCUGAGCAUUGUAAACACAGAAGCUCCUCUGUGUCUCACACCAAUCACAGAUACUGUCUUUGUCCAGAAAAUCAUAGAUUGCGACUAAAAGACAAUGCUUCUGUUUGUAGAUACAGUUUAUCUACAGCUCAUCAGACCAAUGGAGGGAAGGAAAAGAACAAGGAAUCCUGUUUGCUCUCACCUGAGGUGAAAACAGCCCUUUCUGCUUCUCUGUGCUGCAGUGAAAAAAGGUUUUCCACACACGUAUGAAUCCAUGUAAAUAACUGGAUACUCAAGUCUAAUCUUUUUCUUUUGUGAUGCUCGGAGAUGUGAGAAAAAAUCUGUGGAAACCCAUGUUUUUCACACUUUUUUAAGAGGCUUUUAUGUUUGAAAGACAACGGCAAAAAAAGUAAAUGAGUGACUGGACAGAUGAAAAAUUCAUCAAAGUAACCAAAAACAUAUGCCAAAAAUAUUUAGAUAUGAUUUCAAUAAUCAAAUGACCUUAACAGUAAAAACUCUACUCGUAUAAAAGGAUUUGCCUGGAGGUUUUUAUGGUUUUUUGUGCUAGCUUGUUCAGACCAACAUACAAACCAAACAUACAGAUUGUGUCAACUGUUUUUGGAACUAGAUAACAGGACUUGCCCUCUGCUCCACUUGGCUCUCAGUCAGCAGCUCAAUAUCUCAACUAUGUCUCCUAAGAAUAGAAACCAUUGACAGCGACUGUAAGCCUCCAUCAAUACACUGCAAACGUUAACCUGGGCCUGCAGCCUCAUGAGAAACGUGGCCAUAAAAUAGAUUUCCUUUUUAACACCUCCAAUUCAUUUAACAUCUUAAAAUGCAAUAAUUAGGCAUCUUUGAUUUUCCUGUGAGGUAAAUCACAGAACUCUAUAAUGUACAUUGCAGACUGCAUAAGAAUGCUUGCAUAUUUCCAGUCAACUUAUUCCGUUAGCAUUUCCAGCUAAGUGGGAAUUUAAAGUUGUCCGCGCUGUGUUGGAGUCAGACUAGUGUUGUCAUUUGAGAGGAAAUAUUCAUCCAUCAUACUGGUAGUAAAAGGAAGACAUAUGCGUUCACUCUGUGUGUGUUUUCAACCAGCUUAGUACCCCAGAUAUGGUCAUGCCAGCAAACGCACAUCAUUGUAAACCUUUCAGAGACCAUCUAUACCCAUGGAUUUUGAGCUGGAUCACCGGGAAUUUAAUGUCACAUUUUGCAGCGAGCCUAAACUUUAGCGAACUUUACUGUCAGACAAAACAAAAUAAUGCUCAAAAAUCCAGUGAUACGUUUACAAU
rnacentral:lncRNA from 1 species